UCCAACUGGUUGUUGGACGGCUUGCUGUUCAGUAACGAAGCUAACGCGUGAAGUUGACCGCCUGGGGAGUACGGCCGCAAGGUUAAAACUCAAAGGAAUUGACGGGGACCCGCACAAGCGGUGGAUUAUGUGGAUUAAUUCGAUGCAACGCGAAAAACCUUACCUACCCUUGACAUGCCAGGAACCCUCCAGAGAUGGAGGGGUGCCCGAAAGGGAACCUGGACACAGGUGCUGCAUGGCUGUCGUCAGCUCGUGUCGUGAGAUGUUGGGUUAAGUCCCGCAACGAGCGCAACCCUUGCCAUUAGUUGCCACAUUAAGUUGGGCACUCUAAUGGGACUGCCGGUGACAAACCGGAGGAAGGUGGGAUGACGUUUACGUGCACUU
rnacentral:misc_RNA from 1 species